UGAGUAAUUUCUUGAUUUUGCAAUACCGCCUAGGGAUAGGGGUAGGACGAUCAAUUGCUUUUAACUUCUGCUCUAUAAUGCUGUAUUAAUUGCUAGGGGAGGCUAGCGAUAGCAAGCCAGUAAUUAAUAUUAGGCUCUUUUCGCCGAGGGACCGGGUUAAGGUUAGGCUAAGAAAGUUGCAUGACAAUUAAUUAAUCAAACUAAUAUUCAAGAGGAGUAGAUAAGAGAGAGCGGAUUAAAUGAAAUUGUAAACCCCCAAC
rnacentral:lncRNA from 1 species